GACUGGAAUCGCUAGUAAUCGCGAAUCAGCAUGUCGCGGUGAAUACGUUCCGGGUCUUGUACACACCGCCCGUCACACCAUGGGAGUCGGAAAUGCCCGAAGCCAGUGACCCAACCUUUAAGGAGGGAGCUGUCGAAGGCAGGUCUGGUAACUGGGGUGAAGUCGUAACAAGGUAUC
rnacentral:rRNA from 1 species